GAUGAAGAACGCAGCAAAAUGCGAUAAGUAAUGUGAAUUGCAGAAUUCAGUGAAUCAUCGAAUCUUUGAACGCACAUUGCGCCCGCCAGUAUUCUGGCGGGCAUGCCUGUUCGAGCGUCAUUUCAACCCUCAAGCACAGCUUGGUGUUGGGACUCGCGUUAAUUCGCGUUCCCCAAAUUGAUUGGCGGUCACGUCGAGCUUCCAUAGCGUAGUAGUAAAACCCUCGUUACUGGUAAUCGUCGCGGCCACGCCGUUAAACCCCAACUUCUGAAUGUUGACCUCGGAUCAGGUAGGAAUACCCGCUGAACUAAAGCAUAUCAAUAAGCGGAGGA
rnacentral:misc_RNA from 1 species